rnacentral:rRNA from 1 species
UUAAGCUACUAAGAGCGUAGGGUGAAUGCCUUGGCACCAAGAGCCGAUGAAGGACGUGAUAAGCUGCGAAAAGCUGUGAGUAGGAGCAAAUAUCCAUUUAAUCACAGAUGUCCGAAUGAGGAAACUCAGGUCGUGGAAAAAGACGGCCUAUCUAUACAUGAGUAAAGUAGUGUAUAGAGGGGAACGUGGGGAACUGAAACAUCUAAGUACCCACAGGAAAAGAAAGAAAACUCGAUUCCUAAAGUAGUGGCGAGCGAAAUAGGAAGAGCCUAAACCAGAAGAAGUAAUUCAUCUGGGGUUAUGGACUACAUAAUUGAUUCAAGAGAUUUAGCAGAAUUGUUUGGAAAGACAGACCAAAGAUAGUGAAAGUCUAGUAUGCGAAAAAUCAAUUGACAUGGUAGUAUCCGGAGUAGUGCGAGACACGUGAAAUCUCGUAUGAAGAUUGGGGGACCACCCCCAAAGGCUAAAUACUACUUGGUGACCGAUAGUGAAGCAGUACCGUGAGGGAAAGGUGAAAAGAACCCCGGGAGGGGAGUGAAAAAGAACCUGAAACCCUAUGUUUACAAGCAGAUAGAGCACGUUAAGGUGCGAUAUCGUACUUUUUGUAGAACGGUCCGGCGAGUUAUUUUAUAUGGCAAGAUUAAGUACUUAAGGUACGAAGUCGAAGAGAAAUCGAGUCUGAAAAGGGCGAAAAAGUCAUAUGAAAUAGACCCGAAACCGAGUGACCUAUCCAUGGUCAGGAUGAAGCUUGAGUAAAAUCAAGUGGAGGUCCGAACUCAUAAGCGUUAAAAAGCUUCGGGAUGAACUGUGGAUAGCGGAGAAAUUCCAAUCGAACUCGGAGAUAGCUGGUUCUCCUCGAAAUAGUUUUAGGACUAGCCUUGUUAAGUAGUAUAUGGGGGUAGAGCACUGAAGGAGCUAGGGGCCAAACCAGGUUACUGAACUCUAUCAAACUCCGAAUACCAUAUACGUAAAAACAGGAGUCAGACUGCGGGAGCUAAGUUCCGUGGUCAAAAGGGAAAGAGCCCAGAUCGUCAAUUAAGGUCCCAAAGAUAUAGUUAAGUGGAAAACGAUGUGAUUUUGCGUAAACAACCAGGAUGUUGGCUUAGAAGCAGCCAUUCAUUUAAAGAGUGCGUAAUAGCUCACUGGUCGAGUGAAGUUGCGCGGAAAAUUACCGGGGCUAAACUAUACACCGAAAUUGCGGAUUCAUGAGUAAUCAUGAGUGGUAGAGGAGCAUUCUGUUGUAGGAAGAAGUGUGAUCGAAAGGACAUGUGGACGAAGCAGAAGAGAGAAUGCCGGAAUAAGUAGCGAAAGCAUGGUGAGAAUCCAUGCCAUCGAAAGUCUAAGGUUUCCUGGGGAAGGUUCGUCCGCCCAGGGUAAGUCGGGACCUAAGGUGAGGCCGAAAGGCGUAGCCGAUGGACAGCAGGUAGAAAUUCCUGCACUACCGAAAUACUUAAAAGAUGCAAGGGACACAGGAGUGGAAGGAAAGCGAGGAAGAGGAAAGACUCGUAUCGAAAGAUAUAGUGAAAAUUAAAGUAACGAAUUUCCAAGAAGCACACUGGCGAGAAAAGCUUGUAGAUAUUGUAUAGAGGUACCCGUACCGCAAACCGACACAGGUAGAUGAGGAGAGGAUCCUAAGAUGAGCGAGAGAAGCAUUGUUAAGGAACUCGGCAAACCAACCCCGUAACUUAGGGAGAAGGGGUGCCUAUGUAAAAAUAGGCCGCAGAGAAGAGGCCCAAGCAACUGUUUAACAAAAACACAGGUUUCUGCUAAAUCGAAAGAUGAAGUAUAGGAGCUGACGCCUGCCCAGUGCUGGAAGGUUAAGGGGAAGGGUUAAGACUUGAUCUGAAGCUUAGAACCAAAGCCCCAGUGAACGGCGGCCGUAACUAUAACGGUCCUAAGGUAGCGAAAUUCCUUGUCAGGUAAGUUCUGACCCGC